ensembl:lncRNA
GGAGCAAUUAGGGGUUGGGUGUCUUGCUCAGGGACACUUGAACAUGGGACAUGGAGCAGCCGGGUCUCGAACCACCAACCUUGUGGUUCCCGGCGCACCCUCUCUACCCCCACGUCACAAUACAGAAAGGGUAUAAAAGCUGCACAUGAUGAAGCUGCUGUCACCACGCUUGUCCCUUUCUGUGUUGGAGUCUGGCUGAAGAAUCCAAUGAGCUGGGGUGUUUGAGGCUGUCUGCAGAGUAGCAUCCCAGAUGGUGGGUCUGGUGACUGGGCCUUUCAUCUGCUCAUCCCAUUGUCUGUUGUGUUUGUCUGCAUUUUCUUUUAACAUCUCAUGCCUUGAUUUUAUAUUGUUUUUGUGGAGAAACCAAGUCUGUGAGCGCCCUGUGCCAGAGCCUGUCCCUGUUCUCACCCCGGUGCGGCCUAGUCAUCAGUAG